ACGAAGGGUGCGAGCGUUGUUCGGAAUUACUGGGCGUAAAGGGAGUGUAGGCGGAUGUGUAAGAUAGCGGUGAAAUACCGGGGCUCAACCUCGGAAUUGCCAUUAUGACUAUGCAUCUAGAGUAAUGUAGAGGAUAGCGGAAUACCCAGUGUAGAGGUGAAAUUCGUAGAUAUUGGGUAGAACACCGGUGGCGAAGGCGGCUAUCUGGGCAUUUACUGACGCUGAGGCUCGAAAGCAUGGGGAUCAAACAGG
rnacentral:rRNA from 1 species